rnacentral:RNase_P_RNA from 1 species
GCGGAUUCGCGGGUGAUCGCACUUCUUAACCGGGGUGAGGAAAGUCCGGACUCCAUAAGGCAGCGCAAAGGCUAACGCCCUUCCGCCGUAAGGCGAGGAACAGUGGAACAGAGAGAAUGUCCGGGGCUACGAUCCUGAUUUCGGGAACGGGAGAUUUCAGGGGAGCCGCCGGAGUGAAAACAGCCAAACUCUGCGCGGAGCAAGAUCAAAUAGGGAGGCUUCAUGGUGUCGCCUGCACUUUGGCUUCCGGGUUGAUUGCUUGAGGGGCGCUGAGAGGCGCCUCCCAGAGGAAUGACCACCUCAUCUUUGUCGGCGCUCAUCGUCGCUUGCGAAGAUCAGACAGAAUCCGGCUUAUAGUGAAUCCGCUUCG